rnacentral:rRNA from 1 species
AUUGAACGCUGGCGGCGUGCCUAAUACAUGCAAGUCGAGCGAAGCGGGGACGGGUGAGUAACACGUGGAUAACCUCCUAUAAGACUGGGAUAACUUCGGGAAACCGGAGCUAAACCGGUUACUUAUAGAUGGUUCCGCGCUGCAUUAGUUAGUUGGUAAGGUAACGGCUUACCAAGGCAACGAUGCAUAUCCGGCCUGAGAGGGUGAUAGGCCAGACUGGAACUGAGAUAAGGUCCAGACUCCUACGGGAGGUAGCAGUAGUGAAUCUUCCGCAAUGGGCGAAAGCCUGACGGCGCAACGACGCGUGAAUGAUGAAGGUCUUCGGGUCGUAAAACUCUGUUAUUAGGGAAGCGGUACCUAAUCAGGAAGCCACGGCUAACUACGUGCCAGCAGCCGCGGUAAUUC